AUACGUAGGGGGCGAGCGUUGUCCGGAAUUACUGGGCGUAAAGGGUGCGUAGGCGGUUUUAUAAGUCAGCGGUGAAAUUUUCCGGCUCAACCGGGAUACUGCCGUUGAUACUGUAAGGCUAGGAUAUGGUUGCUGUGGGUGGAAUGUGUGGUGUAGCGGUGAAAUGCUUAGAGAUCACACAGAAUAUCGAUUGCGAAGGCAGCUCACAAAGCCAUUAUUGACGCUGAGGCACGAAAGUGUGGGGAUC
rnacentral:rRNA from 1 species